UAAUACGAAGGUGGCAAGCGUUAUUCGGAUUUACUGGGCGUACAGGGAGCGUAGGCGGUUCGGUAAGCCCUCUGUGAAAUCUCCAGGCUUAACCUGGAAAAGUCGGGGGGGACUGCUGGGCUAGAGGACGGGAGAGGAGCGCGGAAUUCCCGGUGUAGCGGUGAAAUGCGUAGAGAUCGGGAGGAAGGCCGGUGGCGAAGGCGGCGCUCUGGAACGUUUCUGACGCUGAGGCUCGAAAGCGUGGGGAGCAAACAGGAUUAGAUACCCUGGUAGUCCACGCCUUAAACUAUGAAUACUAAGUGUCGGCGGUUUACCGCCGGUGCCGCAGCUAACGCAUUAAGUAUUCCGCCUGGGAAGUACGGCCGCAAGGUUGAAACUUAAAUGAAUUGACGG
rnacentral:rRNA from 1 species